ACGCUCGACACCUACGGGAGGUAGCAGUGGGGAAUAUUGCACAAUGGGGGAAACCCUGAUGCAGCGACGCCGAACGUGAGCGAAGAAGUAUUUCGGUAUGUAAAGCUCUAUCAGCAGGGAAGAAACUGACGGUACCUGACUAAGAAGCACCGGCUAAAUACGUGCCAGCAGCCGAGGUAAUCUGAGCGGGCUGGCAAGGC
rnacentral:rRNA from 1 species